AGGGGUUGUCGCACGAGCGCACCCUUAUCCUUUGUUGCCAGCACGUAAUGGUGGGAACUCAAAGGAGACUGCCGGGGAUAAACCGGAGGAAGGGGGGGAUGACGUCAAGUCAUCAUGGCCCUUACGAGUAGGGCUACACACGUGCUACAAUGGCAGAUACAAAGAGAAGCGACCUCGCGAGAGCAAGCGGAACUCAUAAAGUCUGUCGUAGUCCGGAUUGGAGUCUGCAACUCGACUCCAUGAAGUCGGAAUCGCUAGUAAUCGUAAAUCAAAAUGCUACGGGGAAUACGUUCCCGGGCCUUGUACACACCGCCCGAAA
rnacentral:rRNA from 1 species